CGUUAGUUUUUUAAUUGGAAUCUUGUAUGAAUGGUUGGACAAAAGAAGAUCUGUCUUUAUAUUGUUUAUUGAAUUUUACUUUUAAGUGAAAAGGCUUAAAUGUAUUAAAGGGACGAUAAGACCCUAUAAAGCUUAAUAUUAAAUUUUAUCUAGUCAAAUUUUAGGUUAUAAAGAUUUUGUAAAUUGAAUUUAUUUUAUUGGGGCGAUAAGAGUAAAAUGAUUAUUAACUGCUUAAUAUUAAGUACACUUAUAUGUGAUUAAAAUUUUAAAUGAUCCUAAUUAAAGAUUAAAAGUUUAAGUUACUUUAGGGAUAACAGCGUUAUUUUUCUUAAGAGUACUUAUCGAAAGAAA
rnacentral:rRNA from 1 species